rnacentral:rRNA from 1 species
UAAUACGGAGGGUGCAAGCGUUAAUCGGAAUUACUGGGCGUAAAGCGUGCGCAGGCGGUUUGUUAAGUCAGAUGUGAAAGCCCCGGGCUUAACCUGGGAACUGCAUUUGAUACUGGCAAACUAGAGUGUGGUAGAGGGAAGUGGAAUUCCUCAUGUAGCGGUGAAAUGCGUAGAUAUGAGGAGGAACACCAGUGGCGAAGGCGACUUCCUGGACCAACACUGACGCUCAUGUACGAAAGCGUGGGUAGCAAACAGGAUUAGAUACCCUGGUAGUCCACGCCGUAAACGAUGUCUACUAGCCGUUGGGGGGCUUGUCCCUUUAGUGGCGCAGCUAACGCGAUAAGUAGACCGCCUGGGGAGUACGGUCGCAAGAUUA